CCUACGGGAGGCAGCAGUGAGGAAUAUUGGUCAAUGGGAGAGAUCCUGAACCAGCCAAGCCGCGUGAGGGAAGACGGCCCUAUGGGUUGUAAACCUCUUUUGUCGGAGAACAAAACCCGGGACGUGUCCCGUACUGCGUGUAUCCGAAGAAAAAGCAUCGGCUAACUCCGUGCCAGCAGCCGCGGUAAUACGGAGGAUGCGAGCGUUAUCCGGAUUUAUUGGGUUUAAAGGGUGCGUAGGCGGUCCGUUAAGUCAGCGGUAAAAUUGCGGGGCUCAACCCCGUCGAGCCGUUGAAACUGGCAGACUUGAGUUGGCGAGAAGUACGCGGAAUGCGCGGUGUAGCGGUGAAAUGCAUAGAGAUCGCGCAGAACUCCGAUUGCGAAGGCAGCGUACCGGCGCCAGACUGACGCUGAGGCACGAAAGCGUGGGGAUCGAACAGGAUUAGAUACCCCAGUAGUC
rnacentral:rRNA from 1 species